UACAGAGGGUGCGAGCGUUAAUCGGAGUUACUGGGCGUAAAGGGUGCGUAGGUGGGUUGGUAAGUCAGUGGUGAAAUACUUUCGCUUAACGAAGGAACUGCCAUUGAUACUAUCAAUCUUGAAUACAGUGGAGGCAGGCGGAAUGCGUCAUGUAGCGGUGAAAUGCUUAGAUAUGACGCAGAACACCAAUUGCGAAGGCAGCUUGCUACACUGUUAUUGACACUGAGGCACGAAAGCGUGGGGAUCAAACAGG
rnacentral:rRNA from 1 species